UAACGCGUGGGUAACCGUGCCUCAUACAGGGGGAUAACAGUUAGAAAUGACUGCUAAUACCGCAUAAGCGCACAGUGCUGCAUGGCACAGUGUGAAAAACUCCGGUGGUAUGAGAUGGACUCGCGUCUGAUUAGCUAGUUGGUGGGGUAACGGCCUACCAAGGCGACGAUCAGUAGCCGGCCUGAGAGGGUGACCGGCCACAUUGGGACUGAGACACGGCCCAA
rnacentral:rRNA from 1 species